rnacentral:rRNA from 1 species
CCCUGCCAUUUGUACACACCGCCCGUCGCUACUACCGAUUGAAUGAUUUAGUGAGGUCUUCGGACUGGCGCUCUUUGCGGUCCUUUGGAUUGCUUCGGGCUUGCCGGAAAGAUGCCCAAACUUGAUUA